UACGUAGGGUGCAAGCGUUGUCCGGAAUUAUUGGGCGUAAAGAGCUUGUAGGCGGUUUGUCGCGUCUGCUGUGAAAUUUCGGGGCUCAACCCCGAACUUGCAGUGGGUACGGGCAGACUAGAGUGUGGUAGGGGAGACUGGAAUUCCCGGUGUAGCGGUGAAAUGCGUAGAUCUCGGGAGGAACACCAAUGGCGAAGGCAGCUUCUUGGUCCAUAUCUGACGUUGAGGCACGAAAGCGUGGGGAGCAAACAGG
rnacentral:rRNA from 1 species